CAUAUCCAAAGGACUUCUUAAAGUCCAUAAAAAUUCCAUUAAAACACCAUUAAAGCAUGAUGUACAAUCCUCUAAAGCACAACAUAAUUUGGUUUUCCUAUUCUACCCUCACUCACAAAACAAGGCGGAGAACAAAACCACGUUAUCAGCUCAUUAGGGUUUCUGUCUUUCACAUCCGCCCCAUUUCUUCUCUCUCUCUCUCUCACCAGGAGAUAACCCUUGAUCGAUGGAUUUCACUUCCGAAUUCACUGGAUCGACGGAUUUCACCUGCGAAUCCACAUCUCAGAUCUGUAAAUUUUAGGGUUUUUUCUCCGGCUAUGACCCUAGAUCGAUGGUUUUUUCUGUCGAAUCCACAUCUCAGGGUUUCUUUCUCCAGCGAUGACCCUUGAGCGAUGGAUUUCACCGGCGUUUUCAAAUCUCAGGGUUUAUUUCUCCGGCGAUAACCCUAGAGAUAGAUGGAUUUCACCAGCGUUUUCACAUCUCAGGUACCAUCUUAUUAACCAGAUCUGUAACUAUUUUCUUGCAGAUCUGUUAAAUUUUAGGGUUUGUUUCUACUUGAUUUGUGAAAUAGAUCCAGAUCUGUAACUAUUUUCUUGCAGAUCUGGUUACUUUCAGAUCCGUACAGUUUUAGUCAUGUUUUAAUCGGUAAAGUUAUCGGAUACUGAUUUGCUUCUUUUUCUAUCAUGGAUGUGAAUAAUGCAGGUUUAGUUUUAAAUCUACUUGUUGUUUAUCGUCUGUGAAUAAGUUUGGAUCUGGUUUCGUUUGCGAUCUAAGUAAGGUGUUUGGUUUUGUGUUGAAUAUGCUAUUUGUGGGGUGAUGUUUCAAGGCAUUAAAUAUAAAGGAAAUGAAUUGCUUAUAAAAAAACAGCUCAUUCGAGAAAACAAUUCAAUUCAGAUUAAACUAAAGCCAUCAAAUGUGUUCAUUUUCAUUUUGUGGGUGUGUGUGCUUUUUUUGGCAGGGUGUGGAGUUGAAUUUUUUUCUCACAAUGAGGCAUUCAAAAGGAUGAGAUUCUGUCAGAGAUGUUAUAAAAUGUAACAUGAAAAACAAACUUAUGUCUAUGUAGGUACUCAUUGAGAGUUUGAGACCACGAAUCCAUCUAUUGCUUAAUGAAUCAGGGAUAAUCUUGACAGGUCAUAAAGCUGGAGCUUCAUAUACGGGUCAAAUGUGCCUUGCCUGCAACUAUUUUUCUGAUUUUAUUUUCUUGUUGCAGGUGCCAAAAAGCUUCGAAGUGAAGAUGCUAGCCUUGAGGUUGUGGCAGCUGGUGUUGUUCCAAUUCUUGUUACUAGAGGCAUUGAGAAGACAAAUAAAGUGAGGCAUUGAGAAAACAAAUAAAGCUUUGGUGGCUGUGUUCAAGCCGAUCUCAAACUAGGUUUCGUAGAUCUCGUUGGCCUUUUGUCAUUCGUCUCCCUUGGUGGUCAACAUUUGAAUGUUGGUGGCGCUUUUUUCUUUCUCUCAUAUUCAUCAACGAUUUCUCAGGCAGAGCAGGGAGCAAUUACUUGAACACUAACAAGUUCAUUGAUGUUGUCGCCGAUGAGCUCAAAGCAAGACUCCCCAACAAAUAAUCAUGAUGAUUCCUUAUUGGUUACAUGGUGGUCGAGACUUGAGGGUCAGUUUCAAAGAUUCUAAAGAGGUCUUUUAUUUUCUAUAUUUGUAACUGGAAUUUUGGCGAAUUUAUAUUAGAUACUACCAGACGACUAAGAACGGGUCUCUUUUGGCAUUGCUUUCUUGAUGGAAUUGUUGUAUAUAAACUUAAUUUCAUUUUUCUUAAGUAAAAGAAUGACAGUUAACAACACAUUUCAUCAGCAGACUCCCAAGAUUUGUGGGUAAAAAUAACUAUUUCUUCCGGAUUGCCGGAUUGCCUCACGCGAGUUGUAAUGUUAAAUUUUGUAUAUACUAAAGGAUGCUACAAGUUAGAUAGUAAAGGCUAAAAACUUUAGAGAGCGACGAUAUUUACCCAAAUGUACAGAAAUGUGACAAUCUGAGUUG